AGUGAACGCUGGCGGUAGGCCUAACACAUGCAAGUCGAACGGCAGCACAGUAAGAGCUUGCUCUUACGGGUGGCGAGUGGCGGACGGGUGAGGAAUACAUCGGAAUCUACUUUUUCGUGGGGGAUAACGUAGGGAAACUUACGCUAAUACCGCAUACGAUCUACGGGUUAAAGCAGUGGAUCUUCGGACCUUUCGCGAUUCAAUUAGCCGAUGUCGGAUUAGCUAGUUGGCGGGGUAAAGGCCCACCAAGGCGACGAUCCGUAGCUGGUCUGAGAGGAUGAUCAGCCACACUGGAACUGAGACACGGUCCAGACUCCUACGGGAGGCAGCAGUGGGGAAUAUUGGACAAUGGGCGCAAGCUUGAUCCAGCCAUACCGCGUGGGUGAAGAAGGCCUUCGGGUUGUAAAGCCCUUUUGUUGGGAAAGAAAAGCAGCAGGUUAAUACCCCGCUGUUCUGACGGUACCCAAAGAAUAAGCACCGGCUAACUUCGUG
rnacentral:rRNA from 1 species